UCUUGGUCAAUUUAGAGGAAGUAAAAGUCGUAACAAGGUUUCCGUAGGUGAACCUGCGGAAGGAUCAUUAUUGAAUAAACCUGAUGGGUUGCUGCUGGUUCUUUAAUGAACAUGUGCACACCUGUCAUCUUUAUAUAUCCACCUGUGCACCUUUUGUAGACCUGGACAAGUUUCUUAAUGCUAGCAUUAAGGUUUUGGGAUUGACUUUUGUCUCUCCUUAUAUUUUCUGGUCUAUGUUUAUUCAUAUACCCUAAUGUAUGUUAUAGAAUGUAAUAACUGGGCCUUUGUGCCUAUAACACUAUACAACUUUCAGCAACGGAUCUCUUGGCUCUCGCAUCGAUGAAGAACGCAGCGAAAUGCGAUAAGUAAUGUGAAUUGCAGAAUUCAGUGAAUCAUCGAAUCUUUGAACGCACCUUGCGCUCCUUGGUAUUCCGAGGAGCAUGCCUGUUUGAGUGUCAUUAAUAUAUCAACCUCUUCAGCUUUUGCUUGUUGAGUGUUGGAUGUGGGGGCCUUUUGCUGGUCUUUUAAAGAGGUCAGCUCCCCUCAAAUGUAUUAGCGGAACAUCUUGUUGAUCGUUUAUUGGUGUGAUAAUUAUCUACGCUAUUGACGUGAGGCAGUUCAGCUUCUAACAGUCCAUUGACUUGGACAGUUUUUCAUUAA
rnacentral:rRNA from 1 species